UUACUUCCAAUUCAGUUACCUAGCUCCAAUGAUCUCUAAACUGCUCGCCCAUUUAUCCUUUCCUAGCUCCGUCUCGAAUAGCCUGUUGGACGAAAUCAACCAGUGAACUUUUGUAAAUAGGCGUAUUGACUGUAUCUAGUGUAAAUAGGCGUAUUCAAGUAAUUGUAAUAAUCGGCGUCUCUCAGAAAUAUUUUUUCUGCAACAGCACAUGCAUAUAACAGAUUAGAAAAAUGGCACAGAGG
rnacentral:lncRNA from 1 species